UGUUGAGAAAUACAAGCAUUUUUUGGCAAAACAAUUUUUUGCCCCCCACUAGAAAAAAUCCUGGCGACGCCCAUGAGGGAAAGUAGCGAUGAACCAACAACUUCAGGGGAAUCCAAUCGUCCAAUCCAAGAAAAAAUCCUGGCAACGCCCAUGAGGGAAAGUAGCGAUGAACCAACAACUUCAGGGGAAUCCAAUCGUCCAAUCCAAGUUAUUUUGUUAUUGCAGUUUAAACCCCUCCCCCUCCCCACUGGAGAUGAGAGGCUGUAGAGGAAUUUGUUGUGGUGACAAUGAAUCAUUCUAAUCAAAGUCAGUAUGGGCUCUGAGAAACACGCAGGAGACAAGGUCUGCCGCAGUCAUUGUUAGCAAGAACUACCAGUUUAAUAAGGUGGACUACACAGACAGCACGAUAGCCUUGCAGAGGAGAGCGUUUCUCACGAGUGGAUUUACAACUGACUGACCAAUCAACCUUCAUCAGAACUUUUUGAAGUAGUGGUGGUGGGAAAGUGGUGGGAAAGCUAGGUUUUCAGGGAGGUUGCUGACAGCCAGGUGAUGACCAGCAUCUUUCACCAGUAGUCUCCUGGUCUUCCACUGCAUCUCCAAUUUCUUGCCACCACAGACGGAUGUUUCAGUGACGUAGUUUUGCUCCAACCUCUCUGCCAUCUGCCAUGCGAUGGGCGCUAGAGCACAUCCCGUUGAGGAAGUCGGUAGCUAGGGGUGGAGGAACAAAGCUCAAGUUAACAACGCUGAUGUUUAAUGGUAGCUACUAGAGAUCCUGGAUGCUGACUCUGCCUAGACAGGACCUGAGAGACUUUGUCCUUCUUGCAAGUCAUCGGAAGCCUGCUAUCAGAACCACAAGAAGAGGAACACAUGUUUCAGGUUUUCCUGCUUUUACCAAGAAGACGUUGCUCUUGAUGCUGGAAUGCCCUGAAACUGCACCACUUUGUGAUGACAUCAAACAUCAGAGAAACUACAUCCAAGGUGCCUUGGGCCUAUUUAGAAUGUACUAGGCUGUUAAAUGAGAAAAAAGUUAUAUGGGCAAUUCCAUGCUGGUGGAGACACAAGACCAAACAAUUAUUUCACGGUUUGCUCAAGUUUGAUUUGCUGAAGUGACACAAUAUAGCUUGGCGUUUUUAAAACUGAAUAGUUUCGUCCCAUGCGCGCACUAUUUUGUGAGUUACGGUACACCAUCACAUCAAAGUCUGCAAUGACGUCAUGAUGACUUAUGGAUGCACUGGUAAGGAAUUUUGAAUUUUAAUAGUCUUUUGCUAUCUAUUCAUUAAUAUUUUCUCUCAAUAUUUUGUUACCAUUUUUUAGGGUGUCUUUGUGAAAAUGGAUAUUAUUUUUAAGUUGCUAAUUUUCGUCAGACUUUGCUUGUAAAAUGAGAUACAAAUUUAGUUAUUUAUAAUUAACCAAAACAGAUCUUUUUUUCUUUGUAAAUACAUGUACCUACAUUUUUUGCCUAAUGAAUAAUUAUGUUAAAAGUUUCUUAGCUUGAGUUCUGAUAAGAAUAUUAGCAUUUUGUUUACAUUGUAGUUCUAAUGCUUAGGCCAGCCAUGAAAUAUUGUAAUGUCGGCCACAUGUAAUGUCAUGCAGUCACAAUCUCUUAGCGUAACGUAAUGCCAGUCACAUUGCACAGUCCGUAGUUGAAGAAAAUACAAGUACACACGUUAUUUGAGUCCAUACACAUACAAAUAGUCAACUCUUUGAACCAAAAUGCAACUGAGUGCCAAGCCACUGUCUGAGCAACAUAUAUGACUAUAUUUUUCACAAAACAAGUCUUUUUAAAAUUUUAUUUGGAAAUCUGUAAUCCUUUGAUAAAAUGUAAAAUAUAUUUGUUUUGCUUUUGGGCACAAGUGGUCUAUCAUUGUCCAUUCUGAUGGGGUAGGGUGGGGUGGGGGAAGUCUUCCCUGUGAGAACUGAAUUAUUGUUUGGCACCAAAUAGUUUGAUAUUCAUAAUUCCCUGUUUAUUACUAAACAUUGGCUAACUUAUCUUGUUCGUUUUGUUGUUGGUUCAUUUGAUAACUUUGGUAUUGCUAGAAAAAUAUCAAGUAAAAUUGUGUUAA